rnacentral:rRNA from 1 species
ACGAAGGGUGCAAGCGUUAAUCGGAAUUACUGGGCGUAAAGGGCGCGUAGGCGGUUCGUUAAGUCUGUCGUGAAAUCCCCGGGCUCAACCUGGGAACUGCCUUUGUGACUGCAAGGCUGGAGUGCGGCAGAGGGGGAUGGAAUUCCGUGUGUAGCAGUGAAAUGCGUAGAUAUGCGGAGGAACACCGAUGGCGAAGGCAAUCCCCUGGGCCUGCACUGACGCUCAUGCACGAAAGCGUGGGGAGCAAACAGGA